CGUAUAGCAAAACGGUAUUGCAAUUAAUUGUGGCUUAAUGUUGUGGGUUCGAUCCCCACUGCG
rnacentral:tRNA from 1 species